GAUGAACGCUGGCGGCGUGCCUAAUACAUGCAAGUCGAGCGAACAGAUAAGGAGCUUGCUCCUUUGACGUUAGCGGCGGACGGGUGAGUAACACGUGGGUAACCUACCUAUAAGACUGGAAUAACUCCGGGAAACCGGGGCUAAUGCCGGAUAACAUUUAGAACCGCAUGGUUCUAAAGUGAAAGAUGGUUUUGCUAUCACUUAUAGAUGGACCCGCGCCGUAUUAGCUAGUUGGUAAGGUAACGGCUUACCAAGGCAACGAUACGUAGCCGACCUGAGAGGGUGAUCGGCCACACUGGAACUGAGACGCGGUCCAGACUCCUACGGGAGGCAGCAGUAGGGAAUCUUCCGCAAUGGGCGAAAGCCUGACGGAGCAACGCCGCGUGAGUGAUGAAGGUCUUCGGAUCGUAAAACUCUGUUAUUAGGGAAGAACAAUUGUGUAAGUAACUGUGCACGUCUUGACGGUACCUAAUCAGAAAGCCACGGCUAACUACGUG
rnacentral:rRNA from 1 species